UAUAGCUGUAUAACACAUUUGCUAUAUAACAUAUAUGAAGCAAGUCAGUCCUCAUUCCCUUCUUUUUCUUCACAUUUGUUUGUGUGGUUUUACUUGCUGGUCUCGGCUUAUUCACUACUUCCUAAGAGAACCCUUCCUGUCUCCUUAAGUACACUGAAUUCUCCAGUUACAUGGAGGUAUGUUUUCUUCACUGCACAUUUUUGCCAGGAAUCUACAUUGAGUGCGUUUAUUUGACUGAUGUUUGCCUUUUCC
rnacentral:lncRNA from 10 species